UACAGAGGGGGCAAGCGUUGUUCGGAAUUACUGGGCGUAAAGGGCGCGUAGGCGGCCUUCUAAGUCGAACGUGAAAUCCCCCGGGCUCAACCCGGGAACUGCGUCCGAUACUGGGAGGCUUGAAUCCGGGAGAGGGAUGUGGAAUUCCAGGUGUAGCGGUGAAAUGCGUAGAUAUCUGGAGGAACACCGGUGGCGAAGGCGGCAUCCUGGACCGGUAUUGACGCUGAGGCGCGAAAGCUAGGGGAGCAAACGGGG
rnacentral:rRNA from 1 species